rnacentral:lncRNA from 1 species
GGGGCGUUUGCAUGGCGUGUCCAACUUCUGACUGAAUACAGAGUACACAGGGCUCAGAUCAGCAGUGCUGAAAAUCUAAACUGCAUCCACUCAAGAAGCUUAUGGCAUUGUUUAUUCCAUCAGUUUCUAAGAUAUAAAAGAACCUGCAGUUUCAAAUGGAUCUUGUCAUCUUUUCAAAAUGAUUGUAUAGAUGAAAGGGAUGUAUGGUCUACCAACUCUGAGGAGCCCCUCACAGGUAUAAAGCACGGACAGUGAUCUUGGUCAUGGAAUGAUAGCCAGCAAUUUAAAGAAGAUUGCAAGUUAUUUUCCUCUUCCCAGCAAUUCGGAACAUUCUUUUGUCUAAACAGCAUUCCUGUGGUACCAGAUCCUGCACAAUGUUCAGACAUAAGCUCCAAAGGAGACAGGAGUUGGAAAGGCAGUGUGGCCAGUGAGCAGAGGCUGAGAGACAGAGCUACCAGAAAACAGGAAGACAAUGGCACUCACCAUGAUAAGCAAGUCUCAGCAUGUGAUGUGAAAUUAUUAGGUUUUUUAAACCAAUUUACCUAGUGAAUUAAACAGGUUAAAGUCGGCAUGUAUAUUGAUUUUGCUCAUUCUUACAAGAGAUCAAUUUAACCUAGGUUGAUGUUUCAGUUUUAAAACAAGUUAAGUGCGUCCACUCAGGAGUUUUGAACCACUUUAACUGAAUUUACCUUAAACUAAUUUGUUUUGAACUGAUAUAAUAUUUUGGACAGGAAACUCUGUAAAAGAUAUUAUAAAAGAAUGAAUAAAUUGGCUUUAAUACCAAAUUAAUGAUCA